CAGCAGCCGCGGUAAUACGAAGGGCGCAAGCGUUAAUCGGAAUUACUGGGCGUAAAGCGUGCGUAGGCGGUGAGUUAAGUCUGCUGUGAAAUCCCCGGGCUCAACCUGGGAAUGGCAGUGGAUACUGGCUCGCUAGAGUGUGUCAGAGGAUGGUGGAAUUCCCGGUGUAGCGGUGAAAUGCGUAGAGAUCGGGAGGAACAUCAGUGGCGAAGGCGGCCAUCUGGGACAACACUGACGCUGAGGCACGAAAGCGUGGGGAGCAAACAGGAUUAGAUACCCCCGUAGUCCCUGUCUCUUAUAC
rnacentral:rRNA from 1 species